rnacentral:sRNA from 1 species
CGCCAUUGACAUUGAUGCCCAGCUUACUC